rnacentral:rRNA from 1 species
UACGUAGGGUGCGAGCGUUGUCCGGAAUUAUUGGGCGUAAAGAGCUCGUAGGCGGUGUGUCGCGUCGGUCGUGAAAACUUUCAGCUUAACUGGGAGCUUGCGGUCGAUACGGGCAUCACUGGAGUUCGGCAGGGGAGACUGGAAUUCCUGGUGUAGCGGUGAAAUGCGUAGAUAUCAAGAGGAACACCUGAGGCGAAGGCGGGUUGCUAGGCUGAUACUGACGCUGAGGCGCGAAAGCUAGGGUAGCAAACGGG